rnacentral:rRNA from 1 species
GACCCCAGGUCAGGCGGGACCACCCGCUGAGUUUAAGCAUAUCAAUAAGCGGA